rnacentral:lncRNA from 1 species
GCUUCCAAUGUAGUAUGGUGGCCACAUCUUUAACCUAACAAAACACAGAGAAAAAGAACAUGACAAAUGGAGCAGUGAAUAUAGAAACUUAGGAAGGGAGGCACAGCCUGUCCUCCGUAUUCAUUAAUUAUAUAUGGUAAGAUUAUAUAGGUGAAGAAGGCAAAUGCAAGCUAAUAAAUAAUAUUACAUAUAAUUAUAUAGGUGAAGCAAGCUGAUGACAGGUGUAGUCUCAUACGGAGAGAGGAGGAGAGAGGCCAAACUCCAGACCCCAAAGCUCAAAACUGCCCUUCACAAAGUCAUAGUAUCCUCCCUUUAAUGCCAGUGUCUUCUUUACCAAUCCAUCUCUUACAAAUGGGUAAGUUAACAGAUUCCCUAAUGACACAUUAACUGCUUCCUGCAUUAUUUUUUUUAAUUUUUUUUCCAAUAUUAAUUAGUGAAUAAUCACAAUUAAUUACUUAAUUAAUUUUAAUUAGAUAGAGAAAUACAGUGGUUUAUACCUUU